AUUAAAAUAACAUAUAACAGCUCAAAAUGUGUGCCGAGUGUGCUCAAUAGUGUGAACCACAGCAAGGGUUAACUAGGGACCACAGGAGUGAGGACUCUUCUGUAAAGUUACUGUUUACUGUUUGCACCGCCAUAUUGCUGUAACGUCAGGUGUGUUUAUGUCUGCGAACUCUGGCUAGACGGAUCUUACCCGAGUUUCCUCUCCGUUGCACCUUUCUGUGUCGGAGGUCGUUUUGUUUUUAGAAACCACAGUGCAAUUUUAUGAUUCAUUUAGCUCACUCAUAUGUUUUGAACUAAAGCAUAUUUAAAAAUAAUGAAAAGUAGACAGCGAGCAAAUAAAUCUUUGUGGCAUGGCUGUAAGCGACCCACAAUUUGUCAUUUUUCAUAUUGCAGCAGUGCUGCUCCGAGCUAAGUUAGAGGAGGAAUAGUCUAAAUACAAAUGAAAUAUUUCGUGCCUAAUAUUUCAAGUGAUGCAGUCUGUUCUUGUUGUGACAGCUAAAAAUACUGUUGUCUCAACACUGACACAGAGCUGAUAUUAAAGUUGCAGCUAAUCAAGAAUAACUGUGGUGUUGUGAAGAGUCCUCACCAGAGAAAUGAUCUAUCAAGCAGACAGACUAGCUGUCAUUGUAAUGUGAAAAAGCUGCAUAAGAGAGAUGUAGCCCCAAAGAAAAAAAAAAACCCUCUGUCUGUCAGUGCAUCUGCUGCAAGAGCUACUUCUAAUAAAUUCACAAAGAGCUUGAAUGCUCCUGAUACAUUUUAGUCCCCAUCUGAUAGAAUGGGAAGACAGACAAUCAUGUCCCAGCCCUCCAGAAGAGACGCCCCAUGUCCCCUGCAGCCCCGACUCUACUUGGAUAGAUACCUGGACAGACAGCUGACACAAAUGUGAUCAGCUACAUGUUGGAACAAGUUGGUGAAGUCUGCAGCCUCUUGGAAACACAUGCAAGUUAAUAUACUGAGUAGAAAUCUUCUUUCCUGUCUUACUGAAGAGAGGAAAAGAUACAGUAUUUACUUAAGGAGAUCGAUGGAGGAAUUGUAUUGACAGUGUGGAAGCUGCAGAGCUGGAUGCUUUUUUUACAGGAACUGUUGAUGUUGCUCCUGCUAGUGCACGGAAGAAACUGGGCCAAAAUAUUUGAGUGCAAGAAUGCAAGAAGCACAAGAACACAUCUGGGAUGUGGUUUCUCUUUUCAUUUUCUUUUUCUGCCUGUUUUGAUUUUACAAUAUAACACAUCGUGCUGAUAAAACAACAAAAAAAGCAUCUUUUCUAAUUAAUAUUCCCAUUUCCAGUAAAGUUUCAAUUGAUCUCAUUUGUUACAUGUAAAAAGGGUCACUAGAAAAAUCUAUUUCUGUUCCUUUACUCAAGUUUCUUUUUAUUACAAUAUUUAUUUAUUAAAAGGUCUUGUUUGCACCUCAGCUCUUAUAUCA